UCUGAAGGCGGAGGGUGUCUUCUAUGCCACAAAAAAAAAAAAGCAAGGCGGUUCUGAAGGCAGAGGGUGUCUUCUAUGGCACAAAGAAGCAAGGUGGUUCUGAAGGCAGAGUGUUUCUUCUAUGGCACAAAGAAGCAAGGUGGUUCUGAAGGCGGAGGGUGUCUUUUAUGGCUCAAAGAAGCAAGGUGGUUCUGAAUGCAGAGGGUGUCUUCUAUGCCACAAA